rnacentral:lncRNA from 1 species
UGCGCGCAGGUUCUCAGCUCUGCUUGGAACGUGAAGGUGAGGCCGGGGCUGUUUGCAAGAUGUCCUGGACGUUUUGCAAAGCCGGAGUUGGAUGGUCUCUAGCAAUGAUAUGGAAAACCUCACCCAACUUAAUUUUGUAAGUUGGUCAGAAUUUGGCGACUGGAUGUCUCUACACAGUUGUUUCCUGUAGACUGGCUUUCUGGAACCCUACGUUGAAAUGGUGUUCCCUGCAAUUCUCAUACGAUCAGGACAUUUGAUGUUUAUUUAUUAUUUACUUAUUUAUUUAUUUGGGAGGCUGGGCUUUGUAUAUGCGAGGCAAGUGUUCCAUCUUCGAGCUAUAGCCUCAGCCCAGACAAUGCGUUCUAAUCGCAGAGCAGUUGUGAGCCUCAUUCUGGCGAAAUUUGUGUCGACUAGACAGACACAAGCUAGAGUCUUGAGAAGAGGGAACCUAAGUUGAGAAAAUGUUUCCAUAAGAUCAGGCAGGCUGUAGGCCAGCCUUUAGGGCAUCUUCUUAAUUUGUGAUUGAUGGGGGAGGGAUGGACCAGCUCUUUGUGGGCGGAGCCACCCCGGGUAUUGGUCCUGGGCGCUAUAAAAAAAAAAAAAA